UACAUGGGGUGCAAACGUUGCUCGGAAUUAUUGGGCGUAAAGCGCACGUAGGCGGUUACCUAAGUCGGAUGUGAAAGCCCUCGGCUUAACUGAGGAAGUGCAUCCGAAACUGAGUAGCUAGAGUACGAAAGAGGGUCGCGGAAUUCCCGGUGUAGAGGUGAAAUUCGUAGAUAUCGGGAGGAACACCGGCGGCGAAGGCGGCGACCUGGUUCGAGACUGACGCUGAGGUGCGAAAGCGUGGGGAG
rnacentral:rRNA from 1 species